rnacentral:rRNA from 1 species
CCUACGGGUGGCAGCAGUGAGGAAUAUUGGUCAAUGGACGAGAGUCUGAACCAGCCAAGUAGCGUGAAGGAUGACUGCCCUAUGGGUUGUAAACUUCUUUUAUAAAGGAAUAAAACGAGGCACGUGUGCCUGUUUGCAUGUACUUUAUGAAUAAGGAUCGGCUAACUCCGUGCCAGCAGCCGCGGUAAUACGGAGGAUCCGAGCGUUAUCCGGAUUUAUUGGGUUUAAAGGGAGCGUAGAUGGGUUGUUAAGUCAGUUGUGAAAGUUUGCGGCUCAACCGUAAAAUUGCAAUUGAUACUGGCAGUCUUGAUUACAGUUGAGGUAGGCGGAAUUCGUGGUGUAGCGGUGAAAUGCUUAGAUCUCACGAAGAACCCCGAUUGCGAAGGCAGCUUACUAAACUGUGACUGACAUUGAUGCUCGAAAGUGUGGGUAUCAAACAGGAUUAGAUACCCCAGUAGUC